CAGCCGCCGCGGGAAUACAGAGGGUGCGAGCGUUAAUCGGAUUUACUGGGCGUAAAGCGUGCGUAGGCGGCUUCUUAAGUCGGAUGUGAAAUCCCUGAGCUUAACUUAGGAAUUGCAUUCGAUACUGGGAAGCUAGAGUAUGGGAGAGGAUGGUAGAAUUCCAGGUGUAGCGGUGAAAUGCGUAGAGAUCUGGAGGAAUACCGAUGGCGAAGGCAUCCAUCUGGCCUAAUACUGACGCUGAGGUACGAAAGCAUGGGGAGCAAACAGGAUUAGAUACCCCAGUAGUCCCUGUCUCUUAUAC
rnacentral:rRNA from 1 species